UGACUGAAUAUUGUCAAGGUAAAUGAAAUGCUUUAAAUAAACUAAGUAAACUUCUUUGGGUGCUUGCAAUUUUGCAUUUCAUUGUUCUAUAUCUCUAUUGCCGAGAUGGUAAAUAUUCGCAGGACGAUGCGAGACUUAUUGUUGUUCAAAUUUUAAAUGCAAGCAUUUUGUCAUUUCCAAGGUAUGCUCCAAAUGACUCGAAGCAUGAAGUUUAUAGGAUUUUUAUUUUCUGUGAGGACUAAUUGCUUCUGUUUUAUUUUGGUGUUGUGGUUAACAAUGGUUUUCAAUUGCUGGCAUUACAUAAUUUCCUUUUGACCUCUAGAAAUAAAGAUGCUAAUACAAAGCUUAUUGAUUAUAGGCUUUCCGACUUUAUAAGAUGAGUCGAUUUUCUCACAUAAUAGAGGUGUAUCUGACUUGUACAACAAGGAAUGAAGAUAGUGUUGAAGGCAAGAGGUAAAGAUGGAAAGAAAACGACAACAAAUGGAGACAAUGGUUGUGGUUUCCCUUCGGACCAACAUUGACAUAGUGGGAAUUAAUGUAACUCUUUAUUAAGUUUAAGACUUAUUUUAUCUCAUCUAUAGGAACGUUUUUCAUCUUUUGAGAUUAAUGGUACUGUUUGAGAAAUUUGUACGAGAUUCAUAUAUAAAUAUCAGUUAUCAACAAUUGUGUUCUU